AUGCAAGUCGAGCGAGAUUUUUUCCUGUAGCAAUACAGGGAAAAGUCUAGCGGCGAACGGGUGCUUAACACGUGGGCAACCUGCCAAGUAGUGGGGGAUAGCUCGCCGAAAGGCGAAUUAAUACCGCAUGUGAUCAGAGUGGACAUCCAUUCGAAAUCAAAGUCGGGGCAACCUGACGCUUUUAGAGGGGCCCGCGGCCUAUCAGCUAGUUGGUGAGGUAACGGCCCACCAAGGCUUAGACGGGUAGCUGGUCUGAGAGGACGACCAGCCACACUGGGACUGAGACACGGCCCAGACACCUACGGGUGGCAGCAGUCGAGAAUUUUUCUCAAUGGGGGAAACCCUGAAGGAGCGACGCCGCGUGGAGGAUGAAGGUCUUCGGAUUGUAAACUCCUGUCAUUGGGGAACAAUGCGUAAAUAUUAACUGUAUUUGCGUUGAUAGUACCCGAAGAGGAAGAGACGGCUAACUCUGUGCCAGCAGCCGCGGUAAUACAGAGGUCUCAAGCGUUGUUCGGAUUCAUUGGGCGUAAAGGGUGCGUAGGCGGCGCGGUAAGUCGGGUGUGAAAUCUCGGAGCUUAACUCCGAAACUGCAUUCGAUACUGCUGUGCUUGAGGACUGGAGAGGAGACUGGAAUUUACGGUGUAGCGGUGAAAUGCGUA
rnacentral:rRNA from 1 species